rnacentral:rRNA from 1 species
CAACUUUCAGCAAGGAUCUUCUGGUUCUUCCAUCGAUGAAGAACGCAAGGAAUCGCGAUAAGUAAUGUGAAUUGCAGAUUUUCAGUGAAUCAUCGAAUCUUUGAACGCACCUUGCGCCCCUUGGUAUUCCGAGGGGCAUGCCUGUUUGAGUGUCAUU